rnacentral:rRNA from 1 species
UACGUAGGGUCCGAGCGUUGUCCGGAUUUAUUGGGCGUAAAGAGCUCGUAGGCGGUUCCGUAAGUCAGAUGUGAAAACUCAGGGCUCAACCCGGAGACGCCAUCUGAUACUGCGGUGACUGGAGUCUGGAAGGGGAACACGGAAUUCCUGGUGUAGCGGUGAAAUGCGCAGAUAUCAGGAGGAACACCGGUGGCGAAGGCGGGUCUCUGGGCCGAUACUGACGCUGAGGAGCGAAAGCGUGGGGAGCGAACAGG